AUUGAACGCUGGCGGAAUGCUUUACACAUGCAAGUCGAACGGCGGCACGGGGGCAACCCUGGUGGCGAGUGGCGAACGGGUGAGUAAUACAUCGGAACGUGCCCGGUCGUGGGGGAUAACGUAGCGAAAGUUACGCUAAUACCGCAUACGAUCUGAGGAUGAAAGCGGGGGACCUUCGGGCCUCGCGCGAUCGGAGCGGCCGAUGUCAGAUUAGGUAGUUGGUGGGGUAAAGGCCUACCAAGCCGACGAUCUGUAGCUGGUCUGAGAGGACGACCAGCCACACUGGGACUGAGACACGGCCCAGACUCCUACGGGAGGCAGCAGUGGGGAAUUUUGGACAAUGGGCGCAAGCCUGAUCCAGCCAUUCCGCGUGCAGGACGAAGGCCUUCGGGUUGUAAACUGCUUUUGUAUGGAACGAAAAGGCUCUGGCUAAUACCUGGGGCUCAUGACGGUACCGUAAGAAUAAGCACCGGCUAACUACGUG
rnacentral:rRNA from 1 species